rnacentral:rRNA from 1 species
AUUGAACGCUGGCGGCAUGCCUUACACAUGCAAGUCGAACGGCAGCACGGGUGCUUGCACCUGGUGGCGAGUGGCGAACGGGUGAGUAAUACAUCGGAACAUGUCCUGUAGUGGGGGAUAGCCCGGCGAAAGCCGGAUUAAUACCGCAUACGAUCUACGGAUGAAGGCGGGGGACCUUCGGGCCUCGCGCUAUAGGGUUGGCCGAUAGCUGAUUAGCUAGUUGGUGGGAUAAAGGCCUACCAAGGCGACGAUCAGUAGCUGGUCUGAGAGGACGACCAGCCACACUGGGACUGAGACACGGCCCAGACUCCUACGGGAGGCAGCAGUGGGGAAUUUUGGACAAUGGGCGAAAGCCUGAUCCAGCAAUGCCGCGUGUGUGAAGAAGGCCUUCGGGUUGUAAAGCACUUUUGUCCGGAAAGAAAUCCUUGGCUCUAAUACAGUCGGGGGAUGACGGUACCGGAAGAAUAAGCACCGGCUAACUACGUG